UCAAGUAUAAUUAAGAUCACAACAGAAACAGAUUUAAUGUGCAAUUCGCAUGCCCCCAAAAUUAAUGUGAGAACUGCUCCGAGAUAGAUCUGAGAGCCACCAACUGCCAUUGUCUGCCAAGCGAAAGUGAAACUGCCUGCCAGAGAGAUCCGUCGAGACAUCCGUUUUGGCUUCAUACUCAUACGUAGAAUGUGAAACAAUCAAAAUCUUUUGGUUUCGGUUUCGACUUAGUUCAAUGAGCAUUCGACAUCGACUGCGGUGCUUCAUUAGGCGUGAAUUCUUCGUGGAGUCGAGUGGAGUGGAAUGAAGUGGAUAGGCGUAACGCCCCAGUCCCAUUCCCAUUCCUAACUAGUUAAUAUGGGGUGCCCCAAAGGGUCUGACGCUGACCCCAGGAAUGUUUUAGUUGCAACAAAAGGCUGCUAGAACUUGGCAAGAAAUUUUGGA